UGCAGAUUGGUGGAAAGGAUCUGUUGUUAAUCGACUUCUCAAUUAUCACACCAAAUUAGCAGAUUGGUGGAAAGGAUCUGUUGUUAAUCGACUUCUCAAUUAUCACACCAAAUUAGCAGUAUUGGCAUUGCCAAGAGAAAGAUGAGAGACAUGAGACCGUACAAUGCAGAAGAGCUGAAGGCCACCAUUGAAGCAUCCUGGUCUUCCAUAACACCUCAGCAGUGCCACAGGCUGAUAGAAUCCAUGCCACGCUGCACUGAGGCAGUAAUUCAUGCAAAAGGUGC